GGCCCGUUCGUCUAGUGGACCAGGACGCAAGGUUUUCAUCCUUGAAACAGGGGUUCGAUGCCCCUACGGGCUA
rnacentral:tRNA from 1 species